GGGCGAUUAGCUCAGUGGAUAGAGCACCGGCCUCCGGAGCCGGGUGUCGCUGGUUCGAAUCCAGUAUCGCCCU
rnacentral:tRNA from 1 species